GAACAGGAUGUGUGAGAGAAGCACAUUGAAAGAAAAAAUGAUAAUCAACCAUAAACUGAGAAAAAUAGGACACAACCUCAAAUAGGAGCAUCACAGCGGAGCAGCCGGCCCCCUAACAGCCCUCAUACAGGACUGCAGCAGGACUUCACACAUCUGGUCAGGAUGAAGAGGAACCCACAGGAGGAAAUUGAGGAAAUCAUAGAAGAAGCUAGCUAUGUUAAUGCUCCAGUAUGUACUGUGGAGAAAGUGGCAGCCCCUCCAGACCAGAGGUCUCUCUUCUUCUCUCGGUCUUCUCCACUGAUAGCAGUGUGUUGGCUGAUACUGUUAGUCAUCAUGGGCCUUCGUAUCUACUUUGCUACAGUAAGUCAUCAGAG